rnacentral:rRNA from 1 species
GUCUACGGCCAUGUCACCCUGAACGUGCCCGAUCUCAUCUGAUCUCGGAAGCUAAGCAGGGUCGGGUCUGGUUAGUACUUGGAUGGGAGACCACCUAGGAAGACCAGGUGCUGUAGGCG